GGGGGCAGCUCCCCGGUCCUCUGAGGCAUCCUCGGCUCCCAGUGAUAGCGGCGGCGGCGUUGGCGUCCUCCUCCUCGCCGGCGUCAGGUUUGGAAUUCGCUCACUGAAUACAACUGUUCUGCACAAUUUAUUCUGCCUCUUCCCUUCCACUCAAUGCCCAUCACAAAGGAAAGCGUUUUUGAUUGGGAGCUCCCCAGAGUUGGCUAUAAGAUGGGCGGCAGCUCUAUAAAUGAUUUAAAUAAAAAAAAGAUAAUAGAAAGCACUUACAAUAUGGAUGGUGUUUUUAGAAGCCUUCCUCCCCCAGGCUGAUUUGGAAAGACAUCUUCCAAGAAGAAAUAUAUGUGACCCACAGCAAUGCCUGGAGGGGGGAAUAUUGAAACACAACAUUUGUUUUAUUACAAAAGUUUAAAAGCAUCCAACACCCAACACUAAUCACUGCCGUUUUGAGAAAGCAUUUUAAAAGCCUGGUUCAUAAAAGUCUACCUGAGGCUUGAAAAGAUUGUUUCUUAGGAAUUUUAAAGAAGUUAGUUUUCUUUUCCAAUUGUGUGAAUAUUUAAGUGGGCAGCACAACCUCCUCCUGUUGCUUUAACAUUUAAAACAUUUAAUUGUUUUUCACAUCAUCAGUUCAUCUAUUUUUAGAAGAAGCACCUCAAGAUAUAUUUUGCAUGCUGUUUCUAAUUUAAGAUUUUCAUAUGUAGCAUUGCUUUUCUUGGCCUCUUCAUAUGUAAACUGUAAGACAACAAGCAGCACAGUAGUGCUUUUAUGAAUUCUGCAUUUUACAUUCGGCAAAGUAUAUACAAUUCUCAUUAUUAAGCUAGGGAAUAAAUCUGUAUCCCCUCAUAAUGAUUAAAAAAGGCUGCUAUGAAGAA